rnacentral:rRNA from 1 species
AUGGCGUCAGGACGAACGCUGGCGGCGUGCCUAAUACAUGCAAGUCGAACGGUCUUUCUAUGGAAGCUUGCUUCCACUGAGAAGAUAGUGGCGAACGGGUGAGUAACACGUGGGUAACCUGCCCAUAAGAGGGGGAUAACAUCCGGAAACGGGUGCUAAUACCGCAUAGUUUUCUUGAUUGCAUGAUUGAGAAAGGAAAGACGGCCUUUGUGCUGUCGCUUAUGGAUGGACCCGCGGCGUAUUAGUUAGUUGGUGAGGUAACGGCUCACCAAGACGAUGAUACGUAGCCGACCUGAGAGGGUGAUCGGCCACAUUGGGACUGAGACACGGCCCAAACUCCUACGGGAGGCAGCAGUAGGGAAUCUUCCGCAAUGGACGAAAGUCUGACGGAGCAACGCCGCGUGAGUGAAAGAAGGUUUUCGGAUCGUAAAACUCUGUCGUCAGAGAAGAACAAGUUGGAGAGUAACUGCUCCAGCCUUGACGGUAUCUGACCAGAAAGCCACGGCUAACUACGUGCCAGCCGCCGC